UGUAAUAUUCGCGCAUGCGCAGACUAGUUGGGAGCCAUCGCAGACCGGGAAGCGUCAGGACCAAACAAAUGCGAACUUUAGGGAUUUUGAAGCGUUUCCCGGCCUGGGCCGGACCAAACAGUCCUUGAACCCCUUCCGGAACACCGGCCCGAACCUCGAGCAGAGCUUUCCGGUGAACUGGAGUUCUGCGCGCGGCUGCUGCACUCCUCUGAGGAUGUCGUCCUCCUUUAAAAUACCAAAGAAGAAACAACCUGGAGACUCAGACUCCUCCCACUUUCAUGUACAGUCUCCACUGUCCCGCCUUCAGAGCUCCGCCCCAUUGGUUAAGGGUUACGGGGAGUCCUCCAGCAGAGGCAGGGUAGACGGUCACCACAGGGGGGCUCUCAGCCCUGCAGCCGGGACAGACAGGCCUUUGUUCAGAGACGUGGUCAAAACGCUGCUGGGACUCAACAGCCCCAAUGAAGGCAGAGUGUCAGCGGCCAAUCACAGGCCGGCGGCGAGCUGGAGCUGCCAAUCACAGACUGGAGGAUGGCGUCCUAAGAGAGCGUCAGACCGCCUGCUGGACCAAUCCCAGCCCCUCCACCAACCCCUGAGGACAGGUGGGGGGGGUGUGUCUCUUCCACUCAAAAACUCCUCAGUGGAUUCUCUGGCUGAGCUGCGAGCCCAGGGGCAUGCUGGGAGUUCAGAUUCACUGCAAACCAGAGGCGAAUCCACGAAAGACGCAGAAGAGAGCAAGAUUGACUCAGGAAAAUCCCAGAACCAGAGUUCUGGACCCAAAACCAUCUCAGAGGACGGGGUAACUUCACUAACCAGAACCAGAAUCAAGAUCCGGCUGUCAGCAGCCUCUCCUCUCUCAGAUGUCCGUCAAACCCCCCCCAGCGUGGAGAGGAAUGGGAGGCGGAGCCUGGAUGUGAUGGAGGCCCAGAGAGACAGAUGGAAGCGGUUCAGAGAGGGGCGGAGCUCCGCUUCCCGUCCAAAGAAACCCAGAGUCACUCCAGCAGAACCCAUUGUUCUGUCCAGUGAGGAAGAGGAGGAGUCAGGGAGGCGUGGCCUAACGGACAGCGGAGGAGGAUCUGAGGUGCAGAGGGUUAGUGCAGUCUUCUGGAAUUCAGCGUUGCAGGUGAUAACCCAUCCUGCACGUGCAUGUGCACGUGCACGUGCAGCUGGCCCAGCUCACAGAGGGACCGGACUCACAGGUGGUUCUGUAAACAAGCUGAGUGGGCGGGCCCACAUCUGGGAUCUUUACAAGCUGCUGUGCAUGUGCACACACGUGCACUAG
rnacentral:lncRNA from 1 species